rnacentral:misc_RNA from 1 species
CUAAGAUUUCUUCAAAGUUGCUCAUAAUCGUAACGUUCCUUCUUAGAAACGAAAAAGAUUGUGUUUAUGGGGGGCUACAUUUCCUCCUUUUUGUUUGUAACGAAAAACAUUGUGUUUAUGGGGCGCUACAUUUCAUCCACUCCAACAGUAGGCAGUGAGUUCCUUCCAUUUACAUUAAAAUGUUGUAUGCAGCUACUGCUAAUCAAGCUUUUCGUGCCAGCUCUUUCAAAUGUAUCCUGCCAAAUAAGUCUAAAUUGUUGCUCACGCUCCAAUCAUAUCUUUGCUAAGUAUCUUCAACUCCAAGUUGUUGAAGAGAAUCAGGGGCAAUAAGGAACACACGUCUAGAUGUUUGAAACCGGAAAACUACUAUUCCUUUAUAUGCUGCCCGUGGUACACCAUCCUUCCAUUCUUCAAAAAUUCCAAACUGUCGUGCGAUGUCUUCAAAGUCUAGUUGGUCUCUGUACUGAAUACGCACAUCACCAUCUAUGUUAAAUGCUUUCAAAACAGCAUCAGCUCCAUGGAUGGGCUUAGCCUUUUUAACCAAGUCUCCAAAGUGUUUUACAUAGUUGUCCUCCAAAAGGUAACUUAGGUCCAUUGACUUCCAAUCAACCUGGACAUCAUUUAGCUUAAUUGGCUCAAGAUACUGCUUAAAAAACUGCCCCAAACUAGAACCAUGCUCACCAAAAUUGUACGUUCUGCAAACUUCUGGGCGAAUAAAUUGUCGACCUCUGUGAUUUUCUUUGAGCCUCAGCCAGUCAUCCCAGUAAGCCUUCGGCCACUUUGGAGAUAGUUCGGACCAAGUUGAUUUUGAAAGCAUCCAUCCAAGACCAGGAAAAAAGUCUGAGCGGUAAAGAGCAUAAGGAUCUUGGACGAACUGCCUUUGUCCAUUGUCAUUCCAAGAUGAAAUAGCCAUAAUCGACUUGUCUCUGUCAAGAAGAGUAGCUCCAGCCUCAAAGUAGUCAAAAAAAUCAGCCGCAAUUUCCAUAUCAUCUUCUAGUAUGAUAACACGGCUAAAAUUAUGCUUGUGAAACAGCUGAUCCAAUGCCCACUUGUAAUGACGUGCAAUCUUGUAGUAUGCAACCAGUUCCCCUGGUCUUUCAGUAUGCACAGGUUCAAAAUCCAAGUGCUGCAUAUACGUCAGUUGAUCAUAGCUCAAAGCAAGCUUUCUAACAUCAGGAUUUGAUCCAUCCUGGGAUAUGAAAAGAGGAUAUUUUGAUGCAACAGAUGUUUGGUAUUUUAAGAUGGAUUUUAUAGUCUUCUCCAGGUAGUCAGAACGACUGCAAGCCAUAACAACUACAGCUGCCACUGGCAUCUGCACAUUUCCGAUUAACUUUUUUAUGCCCUUACUUUCAAGAUCCUGAACAAGAGCCCUUAAUUGUCGGCACUCCUGGUCCUGACGCUUCAUUUGUUCUUCAAGAGCCACUACUCUUCCUUGCUGCUGGCUAAUCUUGUCAAUAAGCAACCUAGUCUGACUUGUACAAUGAUUUUCUGCUUCAAUCGCAGCAGCAAGGCGGUCUGCAUAUUCUGACUGUGUCACGAAAAGCCGCAUCUGUAUGUAGAUGAAGGCGAGAGCAGCCACGACGAGAAGGUACCGUAAAUCAAAGCAAAACUUGUUUCCUCUCAUCUCUGCCAAAUGCGAAAUUGAAUUCUAAGGGUUUCUCAGUUCCGAG